rnacentral:lncRNA from 1 species
CAGUGUAUUUCUAGAAACAAUGACUGCUGAAAUUUAUUUGGAAUUUUUUCCUUUCUGAGCAGUAAUUUCCCUCUGUUGUUCCCAGACCUUUAGCGAAAGCCUGUUUCCCACACCAAUCUUAGUGGAUCUUUAUGGUCACAAAUAGUAGUCACAGCUCAUGGUCAGGACCAACAAAGCUUAAGUAGCCACUGGGAGCUAGGUUCUAAGCUGGCUCCUGAGCAGGUAACAGGCUCACUUGCUUUUCUCCAAAUAGCAUCACAUGCCCAGCUGCCAGCGAACAAUACCUUUGUGACCCACUUCUGCCUCCUGGCCUCCUGGCCCUUCCCAGCCCGGCAUCCCAGUGUGUCAGAGCCAGGAACCAGAGGGCAGUGGUACAGCAGUCAGUAGGGCUGAGGGAGUAGAGACUGUUAGUGUAGACAAUUCUUGGUUGAGAAGGGGAGGAGCAACAGGCCAGCUGCAGGUGAUGUAAAGAGUUAGGGGGCUUUUUUCUUCUGUGGGAGAGGAGCCUGCUUCCCUCACCUUUCUGCUCCACCAUGGAAACCAUCCCAUCUCUGUUCUCCUCGGUCUCCAGGAGACUUUGGGGGUAGGGGUGGAGGAGUAGAUUCUGGACCCCUCCUCAGAACUUUAGUUUCUAGGCCGUAUCUAUGGCCCUCCCUCUCCCUAUCAUUAAAGGGGUCAGGGUCCUCUGCCUUCUCCCAGUUGUCUCAGACCUGGAUCCUCUGCGGGCAGUGAGCCACACACUUGGAGCUCCAUUAUAGAAGUCACCGUCCUUGCCUCAGUUUCCUCAUGGGUAAAGUGAGAGUUUAACAGCAGGAACUCCCAGAGCUCCUUGUCAGCGACUCAGGACAAGGAGGGACUCAGUGGGACAAGAGUGCAAGAUCUACAUCUCCCUCUUCUUCAAACAAGCUCCAUGUGCUUGGAUCUGGGCCUUGGAUCUACAGAUUGUGUGUACUUUGUAUUUGUUGAGCACCUGCUGUGUGUCAGGCCCUCUAGCAGCUGAGACCCAGAGAUGCGCAAGGCAGAGGGGUCCUGGCCGUCAUGGAGCUCACAGCCUAAUGAGGAAGAUGAACAAUAAGCAGAAAGAAAAGCAUCCAUCAAAAUAAACAACCAGAAAACAUUGGCUGGAGGGAUGUGCUGU